rnacentral:lncRNA from 1 species
GUGGCUAAACUCAUCAUUCAUUAUCACCAGUAUUAUGCACCGAACGAUGGUGCAGUCAUUGAGCCACUUCUGGUAAGUGUCUCGGACCGUCCCUCUCGCAUUCGGGGCUGGCUCCUCGGGUGCAGGAUCCGUUACUACAUAAAAGAUCUGCUCAUGCUCAAGGAUGAUUUUUAAUUUUCAAUACCAGCUAUCAAAAUUCGGUCCCAUGAGCUUGUCAUUAUCUAAUAAUGACCGGAGCGACAGGGUAGUGGCCAUAGCUGCAUAAAAGAAAACCAGACCUUAAUUAGUACAUAAAUUAUUAAUACUAAAGACUUGGACUUUAGUCUAAAGUUU